rnacentral:rRNA from 1 species
UACGGGGGGGGCAAGCGUUGUCCGGAUUUAUUGGGCGUAAAGAGCGUGUAGGCGGCCAUACAGGUCCGUUGUGAAAACUGGAGGCUCAACCUCCAGACGUCGACGGAAACCGUAUGGCUAGAGUCCGGAAGAGGAGAGUGGAAUUCCUGGUGUAGCGGUGAAAUGCGCAGAUAUCAGGAAGAACACCCGUGGCGAAGGCGGCUCUCUGGGACGGUACUGACGCUGAGACGCGAAAGCGUGGGGAGCGAACAGG